rnacentral:lncRNA from 1 species
UGCAUAGGAAGAACUGGUCUUCAACAUAUUGUCUGGAGAUCAAUGAUCAUUACUGAAAGUGCGCAUGUGAAAAACAGAGAAAAUAAGAAUGGAAGUAAUGGAAGGGCUACAGUGAAAUCAAUAAUCCUCUUCCACCCAUAAAACCAAAGGAUUAAAAAAUAAACAAACAAACAAAAACUAAUGUGUGGACCUGAAACAAACAAACAAACCACCACCACCAAGAACAAACAUGAAUAAAAGAAGGAUGGAAUUUAGUAUAGGUGGAGAGAAUGAAAAUCUAGGAUUGGUGACAGUCAGAAACGGAGGGAAAGUUGAAACGGUCUGUAGAAAAUAAUUUAGGAGGAAGUUAUAAAAGCGUUGUGAUAGUUGCACCAGAAGUAUGGUGCUGAAUAGAAAAGUAAGUUGAAAGGAAUUGUAAUGGAGAAUGGAUGCCAUUCUUUCACCCAUGUGGCAAGCAUGCCAUAUGCCUGGUAUUACCCUCUGUUACAUGCUAUCAUUUCAGGUACAUCAGAAAGCUAGAAGGAAAAGCAACAGCGAAGUGCAUUGCUGCAGAACACGGGAAGAUGGAGGAGAACAGCACAUAUGGUACAUUGAUUGCAUGCAGCCUGGGGCAGCACGGUGGCUACAGCUGGUCCCUGGGUCAAAACAUGGUCGUCGGGAAAAUGGGAUGCUUGCCAAAAUUGUCGGUCUGUGCUAGGUGCCAUGCUGUGUUGUCCUUGGAAUGGUGGAAUACAACUUGGGUCUCCUCGGGGAUGGCUGACGUGGCACAAACUGUACCACGCAACUACCGAAUGCGUUCACCUUUUGGAUAUGUAUGUAAGUUAGUGGGCUACUGGAAGAAGAUGAAGAAUCUCUUGCAGAAAAGUGAGGAUAUUGUAGAAAAUGCUGCUGCAAACCAUUUGGAUUAUAUUGCCAUCCGACAUUGCGGUCCUGCAGCUAACAGAAGGAAUUUGCCAGAUCUUUCUUGUUAUGUGGUUGCUGACGCAUUUUCUUGGCACGGCAGUGGUGAUUGAUGAACACACUUUAG